UAGGGAAUCUUCCACAAUGGACGAAAGUCUGAUGGAGCAACGCCGCGUGGGUGAAGAAGGGUUUCGGCUCGUAAAACUCUGUUGUUAAAGAAGAACAUAUCUGAGAGUAACUGUUCAGGUAUUGACGGUAUUUAACCAGAAAGCCACGGCUAACUACGUGACAG
rnacentral:rRNA from 1 species